rnacentral:rRNA from 1 species
UACGUAGGGGGCGAGCGUUGUCCGGCGUUACUGGGCGUAAAGGGCACGCAGGCGGUGCGGCGCGUUUCGCGUGACAGCGGAGGGCUUAACUCUCCGAGGAUGCGAAAGACGGCGGCACUUGAGGGCCAGAGAGGGACACGGAAUUCCGGGUGGAGUGGUGAAAUGCGUAGAGAUCCGGAGGAACACCGAAGGCGAAGGCAGUGUCCUGGCUGGUGACUGACGCUGAGGUGCGAAAGCUAGGGGAGCGAACGGG